GCGUCCUUCCGGGCAAUGUUGCUCCAAUAAAGAAAGUGAAGCAGGCGCCCUGGUCGGCCCCCUGCAGCUUCACUCUUUUACCUCUGGUCGGUCGGGACCUGCAAAGCACUCGUCAGUGUCAGCAGAUUCUACAGAAUACAAAAGUCUUCGUACACAGCUUUCUACAAAACAGUUCUCCUCGUCGCGCGGCCCUACAGGCGCUUAUCCGAGGGCGGCCGAGACGACCACGGAGUCGCCCCGGAGACCCGCCUCAACGUCACCAGGGUCCCCCGUCCCUCCCAGCGCCAGAGUCCACGAAUCACAGGCCCCCGCGCCGUCGUCUCCCACCGCCUCCCUGCGUCUCUCCAGCCGAUCCCUCCCCCCCUGCCCCGCCGCCUCUCCCCUCUGUCCCAACACCCGGGGGUCCCCUCCCCCCACCCACCUCUCCCUUCGCUCCACCUUCACUCUGACGCCGUUGACCUCCGUCGACGUAGCUCUUCUUCCCGAGGUUGACCCGGAGACUCUUCCCCGGCGGCGUCGGCGGGCGUAGAGGGGCCGGCGUCCCGGGCCGCCUCGUCCCUCAGAGGGUCCGCGGACUCGGCCCUCUCACCCGGGCGAUGGCGCUGCACGCACCCCCUGCCCCCUGUCCCCCCGGUUUCAUCCGAUCCAGAGGAGCGCCCCCCCACCGUCACCUCACCGCCAACCGGGGGGCCUCCCUCCCACCUCCCUUCUUCCCCCGAGGUACAAACCCCCAGCCCCAGUCCUCCGAAGCGGUCAUCGCCCUCACCCAUCCCGCCCAGCGGCCUCACAGACCAGGGAGGCAGGCCAGUCGGCCAGGGGGGGCCGGAGGUCAGGCGGCUCGUCCGUGAACCACCCGCCCGCUCCGGCUCCUUUCACACCGGGGACCGCUGCUGAACCCUGGCGGGUCCGUGCGUCCACACCUGAUCCAGAGGCUCCGUUGGUUUCCCGUCCCUCUGAACUCGCGCGCGGGGGCCGAGGUUCGAGCCUUCCAUCCUAUCCAGAUCUACACUGUUUCCAGGACGAUCCCCCGAGCCGUGAUAAUGGCAGACCCGGAGGCUUCAUCCAAACAGACGAGGAGACAUCUGGAACUGGAGACGCCGAGGAUGACAUGUCUAUCGACAGCCUGGGACUGACGCUGCAUGACGGAGCCUCCUCCGAUGAAGACGAGAUGGAGGAGGACGGUGGGGGGUCAGGCGAGUGGCGGUGGAGGGAUGAGGACCUCGUCCGCGCCUCUAACGCAACAUCAGAAGGUUCCCUGGUUCCUGAGGGCUCUGGAUCAGAACAAGAGCCAGACGCAGAGACAGGCGAGGCCGGGUUCCAGUCAAAGCCGUCCAGGGCGCUGCAAGCCUUGGCCCAGACAGCUUCCUCUGGUCAGGAGCGGCGUGGCGGCGGCCUGGAUGGGUUCCUGACUCUGGGUUUGGACCUCCAGUCCACCAGCUACGGCGGUCCUCCGGAACACACAGAGCCCAACGAGGAGAACCAGCGGGACCCAAUGCAGCCGCCGGGCCCAGACACAUUCCACCCAGGGGCAGUGAGCUGGAGGCCCAGUAGUAGUCUGCGAGCCCGUGCCCAGGAACACCUGGUUAGCACCGUGAUGAAGGACAGCCAGAGUCGGCCAACCGGUGUUCAGCAUCGCUCUGCCCCGCCCACUGUGAGAAGAGACAUUUCUACUUACAAGCCAGGAUUAUCAGGAUCACCACGGUACCCCCUCUCUGCUCGGUCCACCUCGGCCCGGCGCCCCGCUCCGGCAGAGGAACUCUCCCCCCUCCUCUCUCUCUCCCGUCUCCCUCCCCCCUCCCUCUCUGGCCCGUGCUCCGGGGGCGUGUCCUUGCGGCCCGUGUCCCGCGCCGCCCAGGAGAUCCAGGACAUCAGCGGUGUGGACCGGGCGAGCGGAGAGGACCCCAGGGAGGACGCGGACGCGGAGGCCCUGACCCGCCUGGAGGAGGAGCUCAGACUCAUGGUCCAUGAUACAAGCGCUCGGCCCGCGUUAAUAAGGAGCGCAGGCCACGGAGCACAAGGCCAGCGGAGGACUAAAGAUCUGACAUGGGGCGGAGUCAGUGAGGAGCAGAAACAGGAGGAAGAGGAAGUGGCGAGAGAUCACCAGAGUGUCUUGUCACUGCCUUGAAGCACGCCGAGUCAGAUAUGGAUGAACCGGCAUGUGGAUGUAUGCAUGUGGGUGUAUGCAUGUGCACACACACACAGUCACACACAGUCACACACACACACACACACACACACACACACACACACACACACACACACACACACACACACACACACACACACACACACACACACAUGCACACGCACACGCACACACACACCUGUCAUUUUUGGGGACUACUUUAAAACAAUAGAUAGACUAAUUUGCAUUUAUUUUCGAAACCUUCACUGUCAUGUAGAUAAGUGAGGCUACUGACUGUGCCUUGUAUUCUGUGUAGUCAGCCCUGGCAAUAAGCUAUUAGCUUACCAUUGGCUUUUUAAAAAAAAAUCAGGAAACGGGUGAGACAUUGUGACAUGACUAAGCAUUAAAGAAUCCAAUCUGAUGACGUUUCCCUUGCAUUUAUGUGUUUUUGUGUGUGUGUCUGUGUCUGUGUGAGAGCAUGCCCCAAUGAAAACCCCCAGGUGUGGAGCAGUGGACACAUUUAAUUAUGAGUGUUUCCUAUCCCUUCCCCAGUGUGUAUAUUCACCAGGUUAGAGUACCAGGGGUUCGGUUCAAAGGCGGACAUACUACUACUGCCUCCCUCUCUGCUUCUUUCACAAACGCACACAUAAAAGGUUUCUGCAGGUGAUAAAUUUAGUUUGUGCGGGGAGCAGAAAAU
ensembl:lncRNA